UACGUAGGGCGCGAGCGUUGUCCGGAAUUAUUGGGCGUAAAGAGCUCGUAGGUGGCUUGUUGCGUCUGCCGUGAAAGCCCGUGGCUUAACUACGGGUCUGCGGUGGAUACGGGCAGGCUAGAGGCUGGUAGGGGCAAGCGGAAUUCCUGGUGUAGCGGUGAAAUGCGCAGAUAUCAGGAGGAACACCGGUGGCGAAGGCGGCUGCUGGCCAGUUCUGACGCUGGAGGAGCGAAAGCGUGGAGCGAACAGG
rnacentral:rRNA from 1 species